GACGAACGCUGGCGGCGUGCUUAACACAUGCAAGUCGAACGGAAAGGCCCUGCUUUUGUGGGGUGCUCGAGUGGCGAACGGGUGAGUAACACGUGAGUAACCUGCCCUUGACUUUGGGAUAACUUCAGGAAACUGGGGCUAAUACCGGAUAGGAGCUCCUGCUGCAUGGUGGGGGUUGGAAAGUUUCGGCGGUUGGGGAUGGACUCGCGGCUUAUCAGCUUGUUGGUGGGGUAGUGGCUUACCAAGGCUUUGACGGGUAGCCGGCCUGAGAGGGUAGCCGGGCACAAGGGGACUGAGAUACGGACCAGACUGCUACGGGAGGCAACAGUGGAGAAUAUGGCAGAAUGGGCGGAAGUGUGAUGCAGCAACGCCGCGUGCGGGAUGACGGCCUUCGGGUUAUAAACCGCUUUCGACUGUGACGAGGCGUGAGUGACGGUAAUGGGUAAAGAAGCACCGGCUAACUACGUG
rnacentral:rRNA from 1 species